rnacentral:rRNA from 1 species
GACGAACGCUGGCGGCGUGCUUAACACAUGCAAGUCGAACGGAAAGGCCCUGCGCUUGUUGGGUGCUCGAGUGGCGAACGGGUGAGUAUCACGUGAGUAACCUGCCCUUGUCUUUGGGAUAACUUCAGGAAAAUGCGGCUAAUACCGGAUAUGAUCUCCUGCAGCAUGGUGUGGGUUGGUAAGUUUCGGCUGUUGGGGCUGGUCUCGCUGCUUACCCGCCUGAUGGGCGAGUAGGUGCUGACAAAGGGUUUGAAGGGUAGCCGGCCUGAGCGGCGAGACAGGCACAAUGGGACUGAGAGACGGCCCAGACGCCUACGGGAGGCAACAGGGGAGAAUAUUGCGGAAUGGGGGGAAGCCUGAUGCAGCGACGCCGGGAGCGGAAUAACGGCCUUCGGGGUGUAAACCGCUUUCGACUGUGACGAAGCGUUAGUGACGGUAAUGGGUAAAGAAGCACCGGCUAACUACGUG